rnacentral:rRNA from 1 species
UACGGAGGGGGGGGGGGGCUAGCGUUGUUCGGAAUUACUGGGCGUAAAGCGCACGUAGGCGGCUUUGUAAGUUAGAGGUGAAAGCCCAGGGCUUAACCCUGGAAUGCCUUUUAAGACUGCAUCGCUAGAAUCGUGGAGAGGUAAGUGGAAUUCCGAGUGUAGAGGUGAAAUUCGUAGAUAUUCGGAAGAACACCAGUGGCGAAGGCGACUUACUGGACACGUAU